GAGAAACAGAGAGAGAGACAGGACAUGACAGGUAAACAUAUAGACAGAGGGAGGAAGAGAGAAACAGAGAGAGAGACAGGACAUGACAGGUAAACAUAUAGACAGAGGGAGGAAGAGAGAAACAGAGAGAGAGACAGGACAUGACAGGUAAACAUAUAGACAGAGGGAGGAAGAGAGAAACAGAGAGAGAGACAGGACAUGACAGGUAAACAUAUAGACAGAGGGAGGAAGAGAGAAACAGAGAGAGAGACAGGACAUGACAGGUAAACAUAUAGACAGAGGGAGGAAGAGAGAAACAGAGAGAGAGACAGGACAUGACAGGUAAACAUAUAGACAGAGGGAGGAAGAGAGAAACAGAGAGAGAGACAGGACAUGACAGGUAAACAUAUAGACAGAGGGAGGAAGAGAGAAACAGAGAGAGAGACAGGACAUGACAGGUAAACAUAUAGACAGAGGGAGGAAGAGAGAGACAGAUGGACAAGCACACCACACUCACACAAUUGACACAGAAACACACACAGCAUAAACAAUGAGAUCCCAGCACAGCCCGUCACAUCAGGACAUACGCCUAAAGGUCAGAAGUGAAAGUGGAGGCCAGCCAGGCAGCACCGUGUCCAGGGGUCACAUGCUCCAUCUGCAGCUCCACCCUCUGAUGGCUUUGAUCAUCUUCGUUUUUUUCCAGCCUUUCAAUGAUUACUUCUAUGUGAUGCGGUUCAGAGCAGGGCUGAACUUCCAAUGUGACAUCAGUCAUCUGUCCUCCUUAUAUGUGAUGCGGUUCAGAGCAGGGCUGAACUUCCAAUGUGACAUCAGUCAUCUGUCCUCCUUAUAUGUGAUGCGGUUCAGAGCAGGGCUGAACUUCCAAUGUGACAUCAGUCAUCUGUC